ACAUCAUGCAUUUAUUAUUUAGAUGUGACUAUGAUAUAUUCUAAAAGAAAGCAAUAAGUGUGAAGUGAUUGUUCAAACGAUUAGUCUUGUAUUAAAACAACAUAUGCUAAUUGAAAAGCAGUGAACACAAAAAUUAUUUGUUCCAAUAUUCUUAUGGUGUGAUUUUAUCAAUUGGUAGAAAAUGGAACAUAUUAAAUGUUGCUGCAGGUUAUAGAAAGAAAGAAGAGAGCAUACUAUUUUAUCACCUAAAUUAUAAGAAAAAUUAUUUUCUAUGGUGUUUCAUAUACAAUAAGAUAUUAAGACUGAACAUCGGAAACUAUUAUUCAUAAAAAAAGUGCAUAAGUAUGGAGCAAUUACAGACAGCACUGACAGCUAUCAAAGUACUUCGUUCUAAUGUUGGACAAGUAUUUGAAUCCCUUGGAAAUGGCUUGAGGGCAGAGCAUGGAGAAGAGAAUAAAGAAUCUAAGUAUUUGUUUGAGUUACAGGAACUAUUAACCACUGUGAAUCUUAAUUUAAGGGAUGUAGAACAGGUGAUAAGCAGUUUAAAUCCACCACCAGGUCCAUUUAAUUUAGCCAGUACAACAUAUCUUAGCCAAGAGACAACCCAAGAAAGACAGGCGCUUUACAGUACACUUGUUAAUAGCUAUAAAUGGGCAGACAAAGUUCACGAAUAUAGUAAUGUUGCUCAGGCAUUACUCAGCCAAAACUCCCUAAAGAGAUCUUACAUUCACAGCUCGAGUAGAGCGAAGAGAGGAAGAUAUCCAACCAGCAAUCACAAUGUACCUCAAACGCAAGUGGAUGCUAUGAUAGCAACAUUGGAUCGAUUGUUUCCUGACAUGUCGGUAUCCGCAGUCCGCCCAUUCACUUCAAAUGCAGUGCUACAUGUCACAGUAGGACAAGUCGUGAAAGGAGUGGUGGCGUUUAAAGGUUUGAUGAUAGAAAGAGUGAUAGUCAAAGGUUAUGGUGAAACGAUGGAUUUGUGGACAGAAUCUAGGUAUAAAGUCUUUCGCAAGGUAACGGAGAAUGCGCAUGCUGCAAUGUUGCACUUCUAUUCGCCUACAUUGCCCGAAUUAGCAGUACGGUCGUUUAUGACAUGGUUUCACAGUUUAUAUAACUUAUUUUGCGGACCUUGCAAACGCUGCGGCUUGCACUUGCAUAGUGCACUUCCUCCGACUUGGAGAGACUUUCGGACUUUGGAUCCUUAUCAUCAGGAAUGCAAACCAUAAAAUACAACUAAUUCCGAGCGCUGCUCUAUAUCUUGUAUUUUAGUGAAGCAAAUAUCAAUCUUUAGAUAUGUCAUCUAUUAUGUAUAAUAAUCAGCGUGGUCCGAUCGAGACACAGGCUGAAUUUCAUCGAGUCAUAUUUAUGAACGUUUGGAUACAUGGAUUCAUUCGUCAUUG
rnacentral:misc_RNA from 1 species